AAUGAAUCGCUCGUCCAAUGUUGUGAGUCGUGAUCGUUUUCUUUGUGUCAGCCGUUGGUUGUUUCGUUUUCUCUCACCUGUCUCUCAUUCUCAUCGGUCAUCCACGAACCCUUUUCUCCACACUCAAACAGUUCCGGGUUUAGAAAUUCAGAACCAUGAAUCACCUGAUGGACGAACGAUCAGCUGGAAACCAAGUCACGACUUCUUUUUUUAGACUCAAACAUCUUUUUUUUUGUGGAAAUGAUCAAGUCAAAUUUUGUCCAACACGAAGAAGAAAAAACAACAAUUCCUUUUCUUGUAUUUCAGUGAUAAAUCCAUAAAUCAAUUUUUGUUUUU